CAGCCGCCGCGGGAAUACGUAGGUGGCAAGCGUUGUCCGGAAUUAUUGGGCGUAAAGGGCCCGCAGGCGGUUUCUUAAGUCUGAUGUGAAAGCCCCCGGCUCAACCGGGGAGGGUCAUUGGAAACUGGGAAACUUGAGUGCAGAAGAGGAGAGUGGAAUUCCACGUGUAGCGGUGAAAUGCGUAGAGAUGUGGAGGAACACCAGUGGCGAAGGCGACUCUCUGGUCUGUAACUGACGCUGAGGAGCGAAAGCGUGGGGAGCGAACAGGAUUAGAUACCCGUGUAGUCCCUGUCUCUUAUAC
rnacentral:rRNA from 1 species